UGACGAUGUGUUUUUUUGCCA
rnacentral:piRNA from 1 species